rnacentral:rRNA from 1 species
GACGAACGCUGGCGGCGUGCUUAACACAUGCAAGUCGAACGGAAAGGCCCUGCUUUUGUGGGGUGCUCGAGUGGCGAACGGGUGAGUAACACGUGAGUAACCUGCCCUUGACUUUGGGAUAACUUCAGGAAACUGGGGCUAAUACCGGAUAGGAGCUCCUGCUGCAUGGUGGGGGUUGGAAAGUUUCGGCGGUUGGGGAUGGACUCGCGGCUUAUCAGCUUGUUGGUGGGGUAGUGGCUUACCAAGGCUUUGACGGGUAGCCGGCCUGAGAGGGUGACCGGCCACAUUGGGACUGAGAUACGGCCCAGACUCCUACGGGAGGCAGCAGUGGGGAAUAUUGGACAAUGGGCGGUAGCCUGAUGCAGCAACGCCGCGUGCGGGAUGACGGCCUUCGGGUUGUAAACCGCUUUCGCCUGUGACGAAGCGUGAGUGACGGUAAUGGGUAAAGAAGCACCGGCUAACUACAUG